CCUACGGGAGGCAGCAGUAAGGAAUAUUGGUCAAUGGAGGCAACUCUGAACCAGCCAUGCCGCGUGCAGGAUGACGGCCCUAUGGGUUGUAAACUGCUUUUAUACAAGAGAAAACCCUGGUACGUGUACCAGGUUGAUAGUAUUGUAAGAAUAAGCAUCGGCUGACUUCGUGCCAGCAGCCGCGGUAAGACGAAGGAUGCAAGCGUUAUCCGGAUUCAUUGGGUUUAAAGGGUGCGUAGGCGGACUGAUAAGUCAGUGGUGAAAUCUCUUUGCCUAACAAAGAAACUGCCAUUGAUACUGUCGGUCUAGAGUAUAGAUGACGUUGGCGGAAUAUGACAUGUAGUGGUGAAAUACUUAGAUAUGUCAUAGAACACCGAUUGCGAAGGCAGCUAACGAAACUAUAACUGACGCUGAGGCACGAAAGUGCGGGGAUCAAACAGGAUUAGAUACCCUGGUAGUCCGCACCGUAAACGAUGAUUACUCGUUGUUGGCGAUAUGACAGUCAGCGACCAAGCGAAAGCGAUAAGUAAUCCACCUGGGGAGUACGCCGGCAACGGUGAAACGUCAAAGGAAUUGACGGCGNGAGAGNGCGAGGACGACACGAGGGAGAGG
rnacentral:rRNA from 1 species